AACGAACGCUGGCGGCAUGCCUAACACAUGCAAGUCGAACGAGACCUUCGGGUUUAGUGGCGCACGGGUGCGUAACGCGUGGGAACCUGCCCUUAGGUUCGGAAUAACGCCCCGAAAGGGGUGCUAAUACCGGAUAAUCUCUUCUGACCAAAGACUUGUCGCCUUUGGAUGGGCCCGCGUUGGAUUAGCUAGUUGGUUGGGUAAAGGCCUACCAAGGCGACGAUCCAUAGCUGGUCUGAGAGGAUGAUCAGCCACACUGGGACUGAGACACGGCCCAGACUCCUACGGGAGGCAGCAGUGGGGAAUAUUGGACAAUGGGCGCAAGCCUGAUCCAGCCAUGCCGCGUGAGUGAUGAAGGCCUUAGGGUUGUAAAGCUCUUUUAUCCGGGAUGAUAAUGACGGUACCGGAAGAAUAAGCCCCGGCUAACUUCGUG
rnacentral:rRNA from 1 species